rnacentral:rRNA from 1 species
AGGAUGAACGCUGGCGGCGUGCUUAAUACAUGCAAGUCGAACGGUGAGGAGCAAUCCUCAUAGUGGCGAACGGGUGAGUAACACGUUAGUGACCUGCCCCGAAGAUUGGGAUACCGGGCCGAAAGGCUCGAUAAUACCGAAUGAAGUUUGCGUUCUUAGAAAGCGCAAAAGAAAGCCGAAAGGCGCUUCGGGAGGGCUUGCGGCCCAUCAGCUAGUUGGUAAGGUAAUGGCUUACCAAGGCGAUGACGGGUAGGGGACCUGAGAGGGUGGCCCCCCACAAUGGAACUGAAACACGGUCCAUACACCUACGGGUGGCAGCAGUAGGGGAUAUUGGUAAUCUGCGAAAGCGGGAACCAGCAACGCCGCGUGUGCGAUGACGGCCUUCGGGUUGUAAAGCACUUUUUACUGGGACGAGGAAGGACGGUACCAGUAGAAUAAGCCUCGGCUAACUACGUGCCAGCAGCCGC